rnacentral:rRNA from 1 species
CCUANGGUGGGCAGCAGCUGCGAAACCUUCGCAAUGUGGGAAACCACGACGAGGGAAUUCCAAGUGCUAAUACAAUGUAUUAGCUGUUCUCUUGUCUAAAAAACAGGAGGAGUAAGGGCUGGGUAAGACGGGUACCAGCCGCCGCGGUAAUACCCGCAGCCCGAGUGGUGCUCGAUUUUAUUGAGCUUAAAGCGUACGUAGCCGGUCAUGUAAAUCCUUGGGUAAAUCGGGCAGCUUAACUGUUCGAAUUCCGAGGAGACUGCACGACUUGGGACAGGGAGAGGUCAGAGGUACCUCAGGGGGAGGGGUAAAAUCCUGUAAUCCUUGAGGGACCACCAGUGGCAAAGGCGUCUGACUAGAACUGAUCCGACGGUGAGGAACGAAGCCCUGGGGCGCAAACGGGAUUAGAUACCCCGNUANUC